GCAAUUAGCUGUGGGCUUUGUUUACCAUGGCAUACUAUUUUGCAGGAUAUUUUUCUUAUUCAACUGAUUACUUACUGAUGAUUAUUAGAACCCGCAAGAUGCUCAGCAAACGGUGUAGACUCUGAAGUUUCUAGAAAUAGUCAACCAGCGCUAGCUCUAAUUGUUUCCUUUGAUUUUGAGAUAGCUCAAUACCUUUUUUUUUUUUUUUUAAAAAAAAAAAUUAUGUAUCUUAUCUUUGAAUUACUUCUUUGUCCCAUUUUCUUCUUGAAAUAAGAAAUGGGCCUCUUUAAUCUUGUUUAACAAUCUGAUGCUAUUUAUUCAUUGUCAUAAUACCAAUAGUUGAGCUGUUUGUAAUGUAUAUGAUCACAUUGCUGUUGUCUGCACCCAGCUAUUAUUUAAUUUUUCUUGAACCUUAUUCUCAGUUUUUUUUUCUAUCUAGUUUUGAUGUCCUCCUUUUCUGUGUAUUUUAAAAUCUAUAUAUUAUUUAAAGCGAAGGAAAUUACGCAGCAUGUCAUCAUUACCUUUACCAACUUCCAGUUCAAUUGUAUUUCGUCCAGAUAUCUACGUUGCCUAGGAAAGCUUUUGCAGAUUAGGAGCUGUGUACUAAGUGGUAUAGGAUUUCGUCUUCUUGUUUGCUUGUUGCAUCCAAGCCAUUAUAUAGAUGGGGGAGAGAUGGUUUUCCUUCCUCAUCUCCCCCCUCUUCAUUUACAUCAGCUUAGCUCAAGUUUUAUCUCUGUUAAUAUACAACAUAUAGCAUAAUAUACUGGUCUCUUGAACUGAUUUCUUCAGGCUUCAAAGAUUUUCCAUUAUCUAGCUGAGACAACAUCAGCACAAGAAGCAUCUAUUUUAGCCAGAGAGACAUGAUCUCUGCUUGAAGCACCAGGGUCAAAAUCCACAUCGUGGUGCUUUUAUCAGAUUAUUCAGAGUUGUUUGGACUUUGGAGACCAAUUUCUCAUUCAAGUUUUGACUGGAAUCCUAGCUAUAGAGGAGGGAAUUUUCAUGUUCUGUAUGCUUGUGCCUUGCAGUUGAGUUGGCAUCAGAAGUACAAGUGUACUUCAGCUCAUUUAAUUUUCUUUCUGUUAUCUUAACCAAGUACAUCAACAGCUCUCGCUUUGUAGCAAGCGGGCAGGCAGUGCUAAUAACUUUUGGUUGACAUUAUCUCUUAUACAAGCAUUGUUGCCAGAUCUUCAUCCAGCUUGUUAUAGUCAUUGAUGAUACUCUCUCGCAGUGGAUGCAGCCUUAUGUACAACAAGCCUUAUUGAAGAUUAUAUCAACAUUGUCAUCACCAGCUUAUCAUCCACUUCUCCAUGGUUGUGCUGGCUAAUCAUCUUUAUUUCCACCGUCUUAUGUGCGUAUUUUCUGCUCUCUGCUUCACACUGUAUGAGUAUAUGUCUAAGUGACAAACAGAGUAACAGACAGUUGCUCAUUGAGCAGCUAAGCUGUAAAGCCUUUUGUAUAAUUACUUGCAUUAACUAUGGUGUGUUAUUCCUUAGGUAUUAAGAUUGUUCAAGUUUGUUUGUAUUGGCUUCAGUAGCCUAAUGUGCAUAUAUUCUUGUUUUGCUACUAGACUGAUCUUUACUUUUUUGGGGCCGUUUUUACUUGAAUCGGGUCUUUUUUGAAGAGGGGGAGGGGGCUGCAAAAGAAAUGUUAUCUUUUAGCUGGAUAUUUGAAGAACAGUAGAACACUAUGGCAGGGAUUGUUGGAGACUAAAACUUUUCUAAAAAAUGUCUUGGAUUUGAAGGGUUUUGAAUUUAGUUGGAGUCAUGGAAGGGAUGGAUUUAAGGGUUGCUAAGUUGAUCAUGUUUUUAAAGGUUAAUGAGCAUCCAAAUUGGUCAUAGAGUGGCAAGGGAUGAGGGUUUGUCUCUUAAUUCAUCAUAUAUAUUUUUCUUAAAAAUAUAUAAUUGUUGGUUGAUCUUGAGAAUAUAAGACUAAAAAGUAAAUGCAACAUUGGAAUAAAAUUAGGCUGGUUCAAUUCAUUGAUUAUAAACCUAUAUAAACAGGCGUUUCUGGGAUUAGAUGCUAAGUUAUAAUGUGCUAUAUGUGUUUAGUAGGCUCUUUUUUAUGUUAUUAUUAAUUAUAUAUUAAAAUGGAACGUGUUUAAAUGGCUUUACAUACAGAAAAUGAUAUAAUUUGAUGCCUGGUGCAAGCAAAAGCUGCUUUUGUCCUGAUUGACUUGUGCAGCUGUUCACUUGUAUCUUGGAUGCCUCGAAUCUUUGCCAAGGUUAAAACUAAGCAAAAAAGGACGCUCAUUCCUCUUUAUUUGAAGCUGCAAUUUACUGCUGAAUUUUAGGCUGUUGCUGGCUUGCUGCUGGGUUUUAGCAGCUUUUCAAAGGGGUUUAAUAAUUGCUGCAACUCUACUUAAUCUUUCUGCUUAAUUACAUAACUUUUCACUGUGAUUGUCCAUCUUUAUAGACUUUUACACCAUUAUCAUAUUGGAUGUGUUCUCUUAGAAAAAUGUUUUGUCAUAAUUGUGGCUACCCAAUGUUUGUGUUAUUUUCUACGCUUAUGUGGUUGUAGAAACUGUGACAACUCAUCCAUCCAUGCUUGCUUUUACCUUGUUUUGAUUCUGGAGAUAGCGAUGGAGCUAGUUGAGGGAGCUUUCCGGUUGAUAAUAUGUAGUUUUCUUUGUCAUAUUUUAAUGGUAAUGUUUAUGUUUGGCCUUGUUGAUGAGGUUCUAGUUGCUGUUAUGUUUUGAUGUUUCUAUAAACACGGAAGGAUAUAUGAUGUGCACGAUAACAAACUUUGAGUACUUCUUUAUAAGUUGCGAAUAAAAUACUUUAUGCAUCAUUGUUCCAACAGCUGAAAAACUGAUCGGUUAUAUAUAUUAUACAACGCACAUAUUUACAACGCACAUAUUUUACGUGAUUAACUCAACAGCCCAGUGGUCAGGG